rnacentral:rRNA from 1 species
ACGAACGCUGGCGGCGUGCCUAAUACAUGCAAGUAGAACGCUGAAGGAGGAGCUUGCUUCUCUGGAUGAGUUGCGAACGGGUGAGUAACGCGUAGGUAACCUGCCUGGUAGCGGGGGAUAACUAUUGGAAACGAUAGCUAAUACCGCAUAAGAGUAGAUGUCGCAUGACAUUUGCUUAAAAGGUGCAAUUGCAUCACUACCAGAUGGACCUGCGUUGUAUUAGCUAGUUGGUGAGGUAACGGCUCACCAAGGCAACGAUACAUAGCCGACCUGAGAGGGUGAUCGGCCACACUGGGACUGAGACACGGCCCAGACUCCUACGGGAGGCAGCAGUAGGGAAUCUUCGGCAAUGGACGGAAGUCUGACCGAGCAACGCCGCGUGAGUGAAGAAGGUUUUCGGAUCGUAAAGCUCGGUUGUAAGAGAAGAACGAGUGUGAGAGUGGAAAGUUCACACUGUGACGGUAUCUUACCAGAAAGGGACGGCUAACUACGUG